rnacentral:lncRNA from 1 species
CACAUCUAUGAGCAAGAGGCUACAAGAUGUUUUAGGAAAAAGUAUGAUUCUUUCUUUCAGAAGUCUAUCUUGCUUAAAGUGUCUCUCUCUGCUAUUGAUUUGUGCUUUUCUCUUUCAAAAAAAUGCCUCCAUGUCGAGUGAGAAAAAAUAAUAAUGGUCAGCAAUCUCAACCCGCUGACCCACUGAGUGAAAAUGUGUCUCAUGCUGAAUUUUGG